AGUGAACGCUGGCGGUAGGCCUAAUACAUGCAAGUCGAACGGCCGCACAGUAAGCGUUCGCCUCUACGGUUGGCGACUGGCGGGUGGGUGACGCAUACAUCGCCUACCUCUAUUACGUGGGGGACAUCGUAGGGCCACAUCUGCUAACACCGCAUAUGUUCUACGGCUGAAAUCAGGAGUUCAUGGCACUUUUCCUGUCACUUUGAGCUGGUGCCGCAUUAGCUAGUUGGCGGGGUAAGGGCCCACCAAGGCGACGCUACGUAGCUGGUCUGAGAGGAUGAUCAGCCACACUGGAACUGAGACACGGUCCAGACUCCUACGGGAGGCAGCAGUAGGGAAUAUUGGGCAAUGGGCGCAAGCCUGAUCCAGCCAUGCCGCGUGAGUGAAGAAGGCCUUCGGAUUGUAAAGCCCUUUUAUUAGGAAAGAAAAUCAGCGGAUGAAUACCCCGCUGUUCUGACGGUACCUAAAGAGUAAGCACCGGCUAACUUCGUG
rnacentral:rRNA from 1 species